ACGUAGGGCGCAAGCGUUAUCCGGAAUUAUUGGGCGUAAAGAGCUCGUAGGCGGUUUGUCGCGUCUGCCGUGAAAGUCCGGGGCUCAACUCCGGAUCUGCGGUGGGUACGGGCAGACUAGAGUGAUGUAGGGGAGACUGGAAUUCCCAGUGUAGCGGUGAAAUGCGUAGAUAUUGGGAGGAACACCGGUGGCGAAGGCGGCUACCUGGACCGGUUCUGACGCUGAUGCGCGAAAGCGUGGGUAGCAAACAGGA
rnacentral:rRNA from 1 species